GGUAUAUCAUAAAUGAGUUUAUGUAAACAAGCAUCUGUUGAUGGCAUAGGAGCUCAGGUUCUUGGCUAAUACAGAAAGGGCUCCUCUUAGAGCAACAAAUUUCAGUGCUGAUGUGCGAAGUGAAACACUCAGAUUCCUGUUACACUUGCACAACCUGUUGAGAUCCGAGGAAGUUGUACUGGUGUAACAAAGGAUGGUCAGCAGUUUCACUAGGAAACUCUGGACAAACCUGCCUAGGCAGUAACUUUCAGUAAGUACAGCACUGCCAUGUCACGUCUGCUUCAAGUUCUUAUUUCAGUAGUGGAUGAAACAUCAGGAUUGCAAGGCAGAUAUGUGCUUGCUACAGGUAUUUGUGAAUUCUUCUAAAGGCUUGUCUUGAUUUAAUGGUAGAGAACUGCAUUUAUCUUACUGCCUCCAAUUAACUUGUGCAAAUUGCUUAGUAAUCCAAAAUUAUUAAAAUGUUCAAAAUAAUGACUUUGAAUUUUUAUUGUGGGCCGUUUUAUUUAUGGCCAGUUAGAGAAUAAUUCUGGCAGGGAAAAAAUUGUGUGAUGGUAUUUUCUCAGUUCCCACAGGUGUGGUACUUUAGGUCGGUGUCUGUCUCUAGGUGUCCUCUUCCAUGAAUACACUGUGGGCAGCCGACCAAGCAUGUCCCCACAGUAUCUGGCAUGGUCACUAGCAAGAUACUUAGCAGUCUGUUAACAAGGAUUCUACAGAGUCAAGUCAAGGGGUCAAGUCAAGAAUAAAUCCCUCCUGUUGUGAAACCCAGCAAAGCCACUGUGGCAGUGACUGGGAGUAGCAAAUGCUUUACUGAUUUCUAGUCAGUGGGGCUACAUAUUUCAGGACACCUGCAGGCACACUUGGACUCUUCCUUCUAACUGUUCCCCUUCGUGUUACUGCUGCCUUAGCUACAAUAGCUGUCAAUUUUCUGCUGCAGAUGGCUAAUCUGCUACUGCUGCCCUGCAGCAAAACCCAGAGAAGAGCUGAUUUUUUCCCAAGAGUGAUUUUCCAAGUAGCUAAAACAAGCACCCCAAUUUGGGGAAUUUUUAGGAGGGUUGCAAGCACAAUCUAUUGAGGUGGUUUCAACUGCACAGGAAGAACUGUCUCUACAGAUGAAAGUGGUUGUCUCAGUGGUCUUCAGUGUACUGAAUUUAAAGAUGUGCUGAACUUUGAAAUUACUGACAUAAGCAAUGGUGCACCCAAGGAUAUUCAUGACCAUUGCACCAAUUUAGUGUGUGAUCAAGAUUUCGAGAUUGCUAUGAUAAUCAGGUUAGUAAGCAUAUGCCCAGGCACGUAAUAUGUCUGGCUUUGGAAAUAGGCUGAACAUGCAAAUAAGCACACUUGUAAAUCCAUUGCUUUGUUUAAAGCACUGGAGAUCACUAACUGUA